rnacentral:rRNA from 1 species
AUUGAACGCUGGCGGCAGGCCUAACACAUGCAAGUCGAGCGGAUGAAGGGAGCUUGCUCCUGGAUUCAGCGGCGGACGGGUGAGUAAUGCCUAUGAAUCUGCCUGGUAGUGGGGGAUAACGUCCGGAAACGGGCGCUAAUACCGCAUACUUCCUGAGGGAGAAAGUGGGGGAUCUUCGGACCUCACGCUAUCAGAUGAGCCUAGGUCGGAUUAGCUAGUUGGUGGGGUAAAGGCCUACCAAGGCGACGAUCCGUAACUGGUCUGAGAGGAUGAUCAGUCACACUGGAACUGAGACACGGUCCAGACUCCUACGGGAGGCAGCAGUGGGGAAUAUUGGAAAAUGGGCGAAAGCCUGAUCCAGCCAUGCCGCGUGUGUGAAGAAGGUCUUCGGAUUGUAAAGCACUUUACGUUGGGAGGACGGGCAGUAAGUUAAUACCUUGCUGUUUUGACGUUACCAACAGAAUAAGCACCGGCUAACUUCGUG